GGCCAGGGGCGGGGUGGCCUUAUACUUGCAAGUCGAGCGAACUGAUUAGAAGCUUGCUUCUAUGACGUUAGCGGCGGACGGGUGAGUAACACGUGGGCAACCUGCCUGUAAGACUGGGAUAACUUCGGGAAACCGAAGCUAAUACCGGAUAGGAUCUUCUCCUUCAUGGGGGAUGAUUGAAAGAUGGUUUCGGCUAUCACUUACAGAUGGGCCCGCGGUGCAUUAGCUAGUUGGUGAGGUAACGGCUCACCAAGGCAACGAUGCAUAGCCGACCUGAGAGGGUGAUCGGCCACACUGGGACUGAGACACGGCCCAGACUCCUACGGGAGGCAGCAGUAGGGAAUCUUCCGCAAUGGACGAAAGUCUGACGGAGCAACGCCGCGUGAGUGAUGAAGGCUUUCGGGUCGUAAAACUCUGUUGUUAGGGAAGAACAAGUAUGAGAGUAACUGCUCGUACCUUGACGGUACCUAACCAGAAAGCCACGGCUAACUACGUGCCAGCAGCCGCGGUAAUACGUAGGUGGCAAGCGUUAUCCGGAAUUAUUGGGCGUAAAGCGCGCGCAGGCGGUUUCUUAAGUCUGAUGUGAAAGCCCACGGCUCAACCGUGGAGGGUCAUUGGAAACUGGGGAACUUGAGUGCAGAAGAGAAAAGCGGAAUUCCACGUGUAGCGGUGAAAUGCGUAGAGAUGUGGAGGAACACCAGUGGCGAAGGCGGCUUUUUGGUCUGUAACUGACGCUGAGGCGCGAAAGCGUGGGGGAGCAAACAGGAUUAGAUACCCUGGUAGUCCACGCCGUAACGAUGAGUGCUAAGUGUUAGAGGGGUUUCCGCCCUUUAGUGCUGCAGCUAACGCAUUAAGCACUCCGCCUGGGGGAGUACGGGUCGCAAGACUGAAACUCAAGGAAUUGACGGGGGCCCCGCACAAGCGGUGGAGCAUGUGGUUUAUUCGAAGCAACGCGAAGAACCUUUACCAGGUCUUGACAUCCUCUGACUACUUCUAGAGA
rnacentral:rRNA from 2 species